CCCUUAGAUGUUCUGGGCCGCACGCGCGCUACACUGAUGCAUUCAACGAGUCUAAAACCUGGUCUGAUAGGGCUGGGUAAUCUUUUGAAUGUGCAUCGUGAUUGGGAUAGAUGAUUGCAAUUCUUCAUCUUCAACGAGGAAUGCCUAGUAAACGCAAGUCAUCAGCUUGCAUUGAUUACGUCCCUGCCCUUUGUACACACCGCCCGUCGCUCCUACCGAUUGAAUGAUCCGAUGAAUAUCAUGGACUGAGAGUGUUAGAGUUUUCGGACUUCUACACUUCUCGGGAAGUGAAGUGAAUCUUAUCAUUUAGAGGAAGGAGAAGUCGUAACA
rnacentral:rRNA from 1 species